GACGAACGCUGGCGGCGUGCUUAACACAUGCAAGUCGAACGCUGAAGCUCAGCUUUUGUUGGGUGGAUGAGUGGCGAACGGGUGAGUAACACGUGAGUAACCUGCCCCCUUCUUUGGGAUAACGCCCGGAAACGGGUGCUAAUACUGGAUAUUCACUGGUCUUCGCAUGGGGGUUGGUGGAAAGGGUUUUUCUGGUGGGGGAUGGGCUCGCGGCCUAUCAGCUUGUUGGUGGGGUGAUGGCCUACCAAGGCUUUGACGGGUAGCCGGCCUGAGAGGGUGACCGGUCACAUUGGGACUGAGAUACGGCCCAGACUCCUACGGGAGGCAGCAGUGGGGAAUAUUGCGCAAUGGGCGCAAGGCUGAUGCAGCGGCGCCGCGGGAGGGAUGGUGGCCUUCGGGUUGUGAACCUCUUUCGCUCAUGGUCAAGCCGCAACAAUGGUUGUGGUGAGGGUAGUGGGUAAAGAAGCGCCGGCUAACUACGUG
rnacentral:rRNA from 1 species